rnacentral:rRNA from 1 species
ACCCUAGGGGUAGUGGGACAAUAAUUUGCGACAGUACCUAUCAACUAAAGUGUUUGUUACUUCCUUGUUGGCUCUCAAUAUCCUGGAUAUGCAAGAGCAUUCAAAGGUUGAGAGGUUC